rnacentral:lncRNA from 1 species
CUGGAAUAAAUACCUAAUGGUAUUGAUGCAUUAUUUUCUUGAAGUGGUAUGAACACUAUUGAGUACAAUUUUCUUCAGGAUUUUAAUCGCUAUUAAAUCACUCAUUGUUUCUUUUUAUGCUUAUUUUUGGUGAUUGGAGAAGGGAUUUGUGAGCUUUGAUAAUUUUGCUAUUAUUUAUUUGUUUGCCUUCUUUUUUUUCUUUUUUGCAGAGCCCUCAAUUUCCUACUUUUUCUUCUAUUGCCAUAGUUACUGAAUGUUAAAAAAUCUCUCAUUUUAUUUUACCUUUCUCUUCUCCAGCAACGAUGCCUCUCAAAGCUUAGCACGAAGAACUGUGCCCUCUUUUAAUUCCUUUCUGUGUUUAGUCAUCUGAACAAACACAUUUCUUUAAUUUCACACUUACAGUGGAAUUUUUCUUGCUGGCAGUGACCAUAGCUCAAGGUCAUGAUUGGAAAAUAGUAAUCCUCUAUGAAAGCUUCGUAUCACAGGAAGAAAGUACCUUGCUUCCUCUUCACCUUCUGCCAUGAUUGUAAGUUUCCUGAGGCCUCCUCAACCAUGCUGAACUUUCUUCAAAUAGAUGGAAGAUGUUCAUAGAAU